rnacentral:rRNA from 1 species
UACGUAGGUGGCAAGCGUUUGUUCGGAAUUAUUGGGCGUAAAGGGCGCGUAGGCGGUUUGUUAAGUCAGCUGUGAAAGCCCGGGGCUCAACCCCGGAGGGUCGGCUGAUACUGGCAGGCUAGAGUACGGAAGAGGUAGCUGGAAUUCCCGGUGUAGCGGUGAAAUGCGUAGAUAUCGGGGAGGAACACCUGAGGCGAAGGCGGGCUACUGGGCUGAUACUGACGCUGAUGCGCGAAAGCUGGGGGAGCAAACGGG